rnacentral:lncRNA from 14 species
GGAAAAAACCCCAAAAUGUCAAAUCCUAAAUGGCCUGACUGCCCCAGAUCCAGCCGGGCUGGAAGGAAGGAAGGAAGGAAGGAAGGAAGAGGAAGGAAGGAAAAGAGGAAGAGGAAGGAAGGUUGGUUGGUUGGUUCCCGCCUCCCCCCAAUGACUCUUUCCAUGUUUUUUUACCAAUUCUCGCCUUUAUUAAUCCCAGAAUUGCACAGAAAACGCCGCGAGGCAGCGACCCACGAACCCUCCCCCUCUUUUUCCUAAAGGGAAACUGAGGCAGGGCCCAUCCCCCGCCCCUAAAGGAGCCCCAAACCCCCUCCCGAGCGGGGAAACUGAGGCAGGGGCUCACCCUCUGCCCUGUAGUGUUGCCCUAAAUCCUGUUCUGAGUGGGGAAACUGAGGCAGGGCCCCAUCAAUUCCCUUCCCCCCAGUCCCAAACUGGGGCAGGGGCUCCCUAAUCCCCUUUUCCCCAGUCCCAGACUGGUCAGACUGGGGCAGGGACCCACUAGCGUCUUUCCCCCCAGUACCCAACUGGUCCAGGGACCCAUCAAUCCCCUUUUCCCCAGUCCCAAACUGGGGCAGGGACCCCCUAAUCCCCUUUUUCCGAGUCCCAAACUGGUUAAACUGGGGCAGGGACCCACCAACCCCCUCCUCCCCAGCUCCGAACUGGUCCAGCUGGGGCAGGGACCCAUCAAUCCCCUUUUCCCCAGUCCCCAACUGGUCAAACUGGUCCAGGGACCCCCCAGCCCCAAAACGGGUCAGGGAGCCCCCAACCCCGCUCUCCCCAGUCCCAAACUGGUCCAGCGGGUCCAGGGACCCCCCAAGCCCGCUGUCCCCAGUCCCAAACUGGUCAAACUGGGGCAGGCACCCCCCAAGCCCGCAUUCCCCGGCCCCCAGCUGGUCCAGGGCCCCCCCAAGCCCGCAUUCCCCGGCCCGCAGCCGCUCGGCGCCCGCCUCGUCCCGCACGCCCAUGAGCCGCAGCACGCCCAGCUCCCGCAGCCGCCGCCGCGCCUCGCCCUCCCAGCCGCGGUUGGCGCGGGGGUUGCGCGGGGACGGGUGCGGGAUCCAGGCCACGGGCACGGCCAGCCCCGCGUCCCGCAGCGCGCGGCGCGCGCAGCUCGGCCACGCGGC